rnacentral:misc_RNA from 1 species
UUGUUUCGAUUUACUCGUAAACUCCGACGUAUGGAUGCAGUGUUUUGAAGUGGUCCUCCGGGGGCGCCGGUCAGGGUCGCCCCCGAAGCAACGGGAUGUGUUCACAAAGGGUUGGAGGUCGGACCCGGAGGCCCUCGCUCGGUAAUGAUCCCUCCGCAGGUUCACCUACGGAGA